CCUACGGGAGGCAGCAGUGAGGAAUAUUGGUCAAUGGCCGUAAGGCUGAACCAGCCAAGUCGCGUGAAGGAAGAAGGAUCUAUGGUUUGUAAACUUCUUUUAUAGGGGAAUAAAGGUAUCCACGUGUGGAUAUUUGCAUGUACCCUAUGAAUAAGCAUCGGCUAACUCCGUGCCAGCAGCCGCGGUAAUACGGAGGAUGCGAGCGUUAUCCGGAUUUAUUGGGUUUAAAGGGUGCGUAGGUUGUUUUUUAAGUCAGCGGUGAAAGUUUGUGGCUCAACCAUAAAAUUGCCGUUGAAACUGGAAGACGUGAGUGUGUUUGAGGUAGGCGGAAUGCGUGGUGUAGCGGUGAAAUGCAUAGAUAUCACGCAGAACUCCGAUUGCGAAGGCAGCUUACUAAGCCAUAACUGACACUGAGGCACGAAAGCGUGGGGAUCAAACAGGAUUAGAUACCCCUGUAGUC
rnacentral:rRNA from 1 species